UCUCCGACGGCGCUUACGGCACCCUCAUAUGUUGCAGCAGCUGCGCCUUCGAAGGAACCGCCGGCGAUCCACACACCCAUCGUAGCCGCCGUCGGAGUAAUUUGCUCGUUUGAAUCAGCGCCCUCCCUCUCCACCCUCGCUCCCAAUCCUCUCUGUGCCGCGCCUCCCCGACCAUCCGCGCGCACCUCCUGCAGUCCUGCUCCAUCCGUUUCUCCGCCCCUUCUCCCCGUCGGCGGUUGGUAACCCAUGGGCCCGAACCCCAUCUCGGGCGGACGCGGUCGCAUCCGUGGGCGGAGGAGGCAGGUGCGGAGGCGAGAGCACCCCCGUCCUAGCGAAGGAAGAGGUGAUGCGGCUGCUGAGGCUCCAUCCCCCGGUGGAUGAGGCGGACAAGGCCGGAUACGGCGGCGCCCGCAGGCGAAGGACGUGGCCAGAAUCCGGAUAGGGUCCGUGUGCGCGAACCCCUCCCGCUGCGGAAUGCCAGGUCAUGUCAUGGCCAUCAUUUGUCUGGUCGAAACCCUUGACGGGAUGUGGUAUACUGGUAUGGUUGAUCUCCUAUCUCUCGCCUUCACCUCCGGUUCUUUGCAACUUAAUUAAGAGUGAGGCGCGGCCAAGCUCCGCCAGUCGUCAUCUUCGCAUGGGGGCAGUGGGCGGCGUCGACGGCAUCUCCUGCUCUGAUGGUCUUCGAUGGCACUACAUCAGAUAAGUAUUCUGCAGAAACAGAGGCGCUUGUCAUCAGCAGGAGACGAUGCUGGUGAUCUGAGCAAAGUGGAGAUGCUGGCGCGCCACAGCCUCACCAUGAGGACUCCUAUGAUGACAACGGCAUGCACAUGAAUCUUGUGUUUUAGGAAUUUUUAUUUGGUUUACUUAUCACUUUUUGUGCUUAAAACAUUUCAAUGAAGAGUACAGGAGCAUAACAACUAGAAGCUAUGAGGAUGAAUGACCAGUAGGAGUAUAUAUGGCCUCCGAGCUUGCAAGUGCGGACUGGGAACCAUUACGACAAUGUGUAAUUUUGAUAAAUAUUUUUUCAUCACUUGACCAAUUCCUCAUGAUGGGAAAGAUGGGAAGAUAUGAGUAUCGAGACCUGGCAAAAUCAUGGUUAGGGAAGACCCAGUUGGCUCAUACUUUCUGUGUCCAUACUCAGCUUCCAAUCCACAUGCAUAGGUUGCCUACAUGACGCUGAGGGAAUAUCAUGUGCUUCAAAUUGCAUAAUUGAUAUAUAAGGGUAGGGUGCAUGGGCUGGAGAUGGCUUUGGACGAGAUCUAUUGUGAUUUGUCCUUUUGUUCGGGAAGGACGUCAAACGGAAGCCUGAUUUGGCCACUAAGGCUUUCCUCAUGUCAUUUCCAAAUUCCAGAUAAUACCGCUCAUCGAACUUCUUCCACUGGCGAGCAUCAGCUGGAUGUCGAACCUUUCCGUCGCCCUUCCGGCACUUAUCUAAAUCCCACCAACGUAUCAAUUCAGCAUCCUUUGGGUUCGAGAACGAGAAGAAACGUCUCAUGCGAUCGGCAAUUGGAGGUACAACGUAACCAUGGCAGGAAUUCUGCUCUACUUCUCAGAGAUGCCUACUCUACUUCUUAGAGAUGCCUAAAGUAGUGUCUGUUGGCUCAACAGAGGCAACACUAUUCGUUGCACCUUGUUCUUCCUUUUGUUCCCAUCUGCUGGACCUUGAUUGUUGCCACCGCAAUAACCGGAAUUGUUUUUUAUCAACUUGCAGAAUAUAUAGAGCAUUUGCCCAA